rnacentral:rRNA from 1 species
CCUACGGGUGGCUGCAGUGGGGAAUAUUGGACAAUGGGGGGAACCCUGAUCCAGCCAUGCCGCGUGUGUGAAGAAGGCCCUCGGGUUGUAAAGCACUUUCAGUGAGGAAGAACGCCUGGUGGUUAAUACCCAUCAGGAAAGACAUCACUCACAGAAGAAGCACCGGCUAACUCCGUGCCAGCAGCCGCGGUAAUACGGAGGGUGCGAGCGUUAAUCGGAAUUACUGGGCGUAAAGCGCGCGUAGGUGGCUUGAUAAGCCGGUUGUGAAAGCCCCGGGCUCAACCUGGGAACGCAUCCGGAACUGUCAAGCUAGAGUGCAGGAGAGGAAGGUAGAAUUCCCGGUGUAGCGGUGAAAUGCGUAGAGAUCGGGAGGAAUACCAGUGGCGAAGGCGGCCUUCUGGACUGACACUGACACUGAGGUGCGAAAGCGUGGGUAGCAAACAGGAUUAGAUACCCCUGUAGUC